UUUUCAUCAGACAAUCUGUGUGAGCACUGCAAAGUACGCUUCUUUAAGGUAAGGAGGUGAUCCAACCGCAGGUUCCCCUACGGUUACCUUGUUACGACUUCACCCCAGUCAUGAAUCACAAAGUGGUAAGCGCCCUCCCGAAGGUUAAGCUACCUACUUCUUUUGCAACCCACUCCCAUGGUGUGACGGGCGGUGUGUACAAGGCCCGGGAACGUAUUCACCGUGGCAUUCUGAUCCACGAUUACUAGCGAUUCCGACUUCAUGGAGUCGAGUUGCAGACUCCAAUCCGGACUACGACGCACUUUAUGAGGUCCGCUUGCUCUCGCGAGGUCGCUUCUCUUUGUAUGCGCCAUUGUAGCACGUGUGUAGCCCUGGUCGUAAGGNNNNNNNNNNNNNNNNNNNNCCUUCCUCCAGUUUAUCACUGGCAGUCUCCUUUGAGUUCCCGGCCGGACCGCUGGCAACAAAGGAUAAGGGUUGCGCUCGUUGCGGGACUUAACCCAACAUUUCACAACACGAGCUGACGACAGCCAUGCAGCACCUGUCUCACGGUUCCCGAAGGCACAUUCUCAUCUCUGAAAACUUCCGUGGAUGUCAAGACCAGGUAAGGUUCUUCGCGUUGCAUCGAAUUAAACCACAUGCUCCACCGCUUGUGCGGGCCCCCGUCAAUUCAUUUGAGUUUUAACCUUGCGGCCGUACUCCCCAGGCGGUCUACUUAACGCGUUAGCUCCGGAAGCCACGCCUCAAGGGCACAACCUCCAAGUAGACAUCGUUUACGGCGUGGACUACCAGGGUAUCUAAUCCUGUUUGCUCCCCACGCUUUCGCACCUGAGCGUCAGUCUUUGUCCAGGGGGCCGCCUUCGCCACCGGUAUUCCUCCAGAUCUCUACGCAUUUCACCGCUACACCUGGAAUUCUACCCCCCUCUACAAGACUCAAGCCUGCCAGUUUCGAAUGCAGUUCCCAGGUUGAGCCCGGGGAUUUCACAUCCGACUUGACAGACCGCCUGCGUGCGCUUUACGCCCAGUAAUUCCGAUUAACGCUUGCACCCUCCGUAUUACCGCGGCUGCUGGCACGGAGUUAGCCGGUGCUUCUUCUGCGGGUAACGUCAAUUGCUGCGGUUAUUAACCACAACACCUUCCUCCCCGCUGAAAGUACUUUACAACCCGAAGGCCUUCUUCAUACACGCGGCAUGGCUGCAUCAGGCUUGCGCCCAUUGUGCAAUAUUCCCCACUGCUGCCUCCCGUAGGAGUCUGGACCGUGUCUCAGUUCCAGUGUGGCUGGUCAUCCUCUCAGACCAGCUAGGGAUCGUCGCCUUGGUGAGCCGUUACCUCACCAACAAGCUAAUCCCAUCUGGGCACAUCUGAUGGCAAGAGGCCCGAAGGUCCCCCUCUUUGGUCUUGCGACGUUAUGCGGUAUUAGCCACCGUUUCCAGUAGUUAUCCCCCUCCAUCAGGCAGUUUCCCAGACAUUACUCACCCGUCCGCCACUCGUCAGCAAAGCAGCNNNNNNNNNNNNNNNNNNNNCCCGUCCGCCACUCGUCAGCAAAGCAGCAAGCUGCUUCCUGUUACCGUUCGACUUGCAUGUGUUAGGCCUGCCGCCAGCGUUCAAUCUGAGCCAUGAUCAAACUCUUCAAUUUAAAAGUUUGAUGCUCAAUGAAUUAAACUUCGUAAUGAAUUACGUGUUCACUCUUGAGACUUGGUAUUCAUUUUUCGU
rnacentral:rRNA from 1 species